rnacentral:rRNA from 1 species
CCUACGGGGGGCAGCAGUGGGGGAUAUUGCACAAUGGGGGAAACCCUGAUGCAGCGACGCCGCGUGAGUGAAGAAGUAUUUCGGUAUGUAAAGCUCUAUCAGCAGGGAAGAAAAUGACAGUACCUGACCAAGAAGCCCCGGCUAACUACGUGCCAGCAGCCGCGGUAAUACGUAGGAUGGGAGCGUUAUCCGGAUUUAUUGGGUUUCAGGGGUGCGUAGGCGGGUUAUCAAGUCAGCGGUAAAAUCGUGGAGCUCAACUCGAUCCAGCCGUUGAAACUGAUGAUCUUGAGUGGGCGAGAAGUAUGCGGAAGGCGUGGUGUAGCGGGGAAAUGCAUGGAUAUCACGCAGAACUCCGAUGGCGAAGGCAGCAUACCGGCGCCCGACUGACGCUGAAGCACGAAAGCGUGGGUAUCGAACAGGAUUAAUACCCUGGUAGUC